rnacentral:ncRNA from 1 species
UUAAUAUUUUAGCAAAGCAGUUGAAAAGCUGUGACGCAAAGCCAAAGGGUCCUCACCUUUAUAGCAGUAUUUAUAUGGCAGCCUGGUAACACCA